UUUAAAAAACAACUAUUAGGUACGCGGAAAUCCGUGUUUUACGGUACCGAAUUUUGUACUAAAAUUUUGUGCCAGGUUUUUUGAACUUUUUUUUAGGUAUCGUCAGGCGAACGUUUUUUUGUGGCGUUUCUGUUAAGAAACAUUACUAAACUUAGAUUAUUUUUGAAAAAAAGAAUAGUUAAACUUGAUUAAUAUAUAACAUUUAUGUGUGGUUGGUAAUUUUUGUAUUGCUUUUAUUUGUAUUAAAAACUUGGUUGUUGUUCUCACAUUAAAUUAUUGUCAAAGAAAUGCUCAGAUAGUUUGCAAACCUACCCAGAUAGUUUUUUACAUAUAUUUUUUAUCUACCUACCAAAUUUCAUUGAAAAAUAUUAUUGAGCAGAUAGUCUAUAAAAGUGAGCAGUUUUGGUACCUCAUUUCUGUUUUUCUGAUUUCCGUAAGUGGGUGGUAAGAGGGGUACGAACAAGUUUAAUUUUAUUUGUGUGACUUGUUUAUAGUUUCUAAAAUUUUAUUGGUUUCAUUGAAAUUGAAAACAUAAGCGUUGAUUACUAUAAUUCUACCUAUAGGUUGUGGGUAACCAUUACCACUCUAUUUAACAAACUUCUCAACUUAACCAAAAUUUACGAAUAGCAGCGAAAAGACUUUUUUUUCAAAAGUAGGCUCGGUUGUGGUCUUUAUCUUUAGCUUGUAGAUUAUACUUGGUGCAAAAAGCCUAAUUCAGGUUUUAAAUUGUUAACUUAUUUUAAAUUGUUAACUCAUUGUCAGGUUUUAAAUUGUUAACUCAUUUUAAAAUAAUUAUAGUUGUUAUUAUAAAGAUUGAUUUAUUUUACUUAUUUAUUU
rnacentral:lncRNA from 1 species